rnacentral:rRNA from 1 species
AUUGAACGCUGGCGGCAUGCCUUACACAUGCAAGUCGAACGGUAACGCGGGGCAACCUGGCGACGAGUGGCGAACGGGUGAGUAAUGUAUCGGAACGUGCCCAGUUGUGGGGGAUAACUGCUCGAAAGAGCAGCUAAUACCGCAUACGACCUGAGGGUGAAAGCGGGGGAUCGCAAGACCUCGCGCAAUUGGAGCGGCCGAUAUCAGAUUAGGUAGUUGGUGAGGUAAAGGCUCACCAAGCCGACGAUCUGUAGCUGGUCUGAGAGGACGACCAGCCACACUGGGACUGAGACACGGCCCAGACUCCUACGGGAGGCACCAGUGGGGAAUUUUGGACAAUGGACGCAAGUCUGAUCCAGCCAUGCCGCGUGCGGGAAGAAGGCCUUCGGGUUGUAAACUGCUUUUGUACGGAACGAAAAGCCCUGGGUUAAUACCCUGGGGUCAUGACGGUACCGUAAGAAUAAGCACCGGCUAACUACGUGCCAGCCGCCGCCGUAAUAC